AAUGUUCUCUCUCGCCAUCGCCAUAUUGAUAUAAAAGUUUGUCUUGUGAAAUACACGAUGUGCAGUAUUCCUGUAUGAUGUAGUUAUCCAAUCCUUCUUGUUGUGUCAAAUAUAAAUUUUAAUUUUUAGUUAUUAAAUUCUACGUGAAAAGAUCAUAUUAAUACAUAUAAUAUAUAUUGAAAGCUAGCUUUUGAAUUAAAACCAUGUGAAUUGAAUCUUCGGAUAUAUAAUAGUAACGUCAAUAAAUUUUGGUUUAGGUUUUCAAAUACACAUUUGCAUUGAAACUUGAAGCAGUUUUAUUUUAAGGACGCUACUGAUUUUCACAUACGUAUUUGCAUAGAAUCUUGAAGUUUAUUUUUAAGAAGGCUUCUAACAAGUUUAAAGUUAUCAAGAAUUUUGUUUCAUAUAAUUCUGCUAUUAGAGAAACAUAAUAAGUUUUAAAUUCUGGAAAGAUAUUUGCAUUUUUGAGCAUACGGCAUUUUCCGGGACCGCUAAACUUUUUAUAAGAUUAAAACGAUUUAAAUUGUAUCUUCAGCUAUAAUGCAUUAAUUUUGGUUUGAAUGUCCACACACAUCAAUGCAUUAAUGGUUGAAAUAAUAAUUCUAUUUUAAAAAGGGCUUUUGGUUUUCACACCCACAUUUGCGUUGAGACUACUGCGAGAGAGAAGUAGGUUUAUUUUUAAGAAGGCUUCUGUUUUAAUUGCUACUUUAAAAGAUCAUAUUCACAUUAUAAUUACAUGUUGCGAUCUGAUAUUUGGAUUAAAGGUUUUCACAUACACUUUGCAUUGAAACUUAAAGUAGUUUUAUUUUAAGAAAGUUACUGGUAAGUCUACAUUUAUCAAGGAUCUUAUUUCAAAUAAUUCUGCUAUUAGAAUGAGUAUUAUGUAUUUAGAUUUAAAAAAUUAUUUGCAUUAUUGAACGUACGGCAUGUUCCGGGACCGAUUAAAUUUUUUAAAUAUAAUGUUUCUUUGGAUUAUUUCAAUUAAAAUUUUAACUUUCAAGUAUUAAAUUCUACUUCAAAAGACCAUAUUUACAUGUAAUUAUGUGUUGACAGUUGAUUUUUGUAUUAAUACCAUGCAAAUUAAAUUUUCGGAUGGAAUAAUAUCGACAGUAAAUUUUGGUUUAGAUUUUCACAUACACAUUUACAUUGAAACUUGAAGUAGUUUUAUUUUAAGAAGAUUUCUGAUAAGUCUACAGUUAUCGAGAAGUUUUUUAUAAUUCUGCUAUUAGAGCAACAUAAUAAGUUCUAAAUUAUUCAGACAUUUGCAUUUUUGAACAUACACAGCAUGUUCCGGGAUUAGUAAAGCUUUUUUUAAAUAUUGUCUCUUUUUAUUCUUUUAUAAGUCUUAAUUCGAAAUUAUAAUAAAUACUACUUCGAAAGAUCAUAUUUACAUUUUGAUUAACUACUGAAAGCUGAUUUUUUUAAUUUAAUACGGUAUAAAUUGAAUGUUUAUAUAUAAGAAUAAUAUCACUAGUUUUGAUAAUUUGUAAAUUUGCACACAUUAUUUGCAUUUACACUUGAAGUAAUAUUAUUUUGAGAAGGCUUCUGGUGAGUUCUUCUAAAUUUGUCGACGUUCUUUUAUAUAAUCUUACUAUUAGAAUGACUUGUGUUUUAAGUUCUGGAAAAUUAUUUGCAUUAUUGAAAAUACGGCAUUUUCCAGGACCGUUAAAAUUGUUUGAAAAUAUUGUAUCUUAAAUUUGUAUUAUUUCUAUAAAUCUUAAUUCAAAUUCUGAAGUAAUAAAUUAUUCCGCGAAAAAUAUUUUCAUUAUAAUUAGUUAAGUACUGAUUUAUUUUUGUUAAUUUUUAUUUAAACUUGAGCUUGGUGAAUAUAACCAUAAUGUAAAUAAUUUUGAUUUGCGUUUUAAUAAGUUUUCAUUAACAUUUGGAGAAAUCUUCUGACAUGUCUAAACUUUUUGUGUUUAUUUUUUCAUAUAAUUCUGUUAUUAACUAUGUAUUACGUUUCAAGGUUUGCAAAGUUGUUUGCAUUCGUGAAUAUUUCGGGAUCAGUGUAAGUUUUCUUAAGAUAGUGUCUCUUUGUAUAUGUAGAAAUCUUAUUUCUAU